rnacentral:tRNA from 1 species
GCCGGGGUGGCCGAGCGGUUAAGGCGCAGGCCUGGAGAGCCUGUGGGGCUUUGCCCCGCGUGGGUUCGAAUCCCACCCCCGGCG